GGUAUCCUGUCUGAAUAUGGGGGGACCAUCCUCCAAGGCUAAAUACUCCUGACUGACCGAUAGUGAACCAGUACCGUGAGGGAAAGGCGAAAAGAACCCCGGCGAGGGGAGUGAAAAAGAACCUGAAACCGUGUACGUACAAGCAGUGGGAGCACGCUUAGGCGUGUGACUGCGUACCUUUUGUAUAAUGGGUCAGCGACUUAUAUUCUGUAGCAAGGUUAACCGAAUAGGGGAGCCGAAGGGAAACCGAGUCUUAACUGGGCGUUAAGUUGCAGGGUAUAGACCCGAAACCCGGUGAUCUAGCCAUGGGCAGGUUGAAGGUUGGGUAACACUAACUGGAGGACCGAACCGACUAAUGUUGAAAAAUUAGCGGAUGACUUGUGGCUGGGGGUGAAAGGCCAAUCAAACCGGGAGAUAGCUGGUUCUCCCCGAAAGCUAUUUAGGUAGCGCCUCGUGAAUUCAUCUCCGGGGGUAGAGCACUGUUUCGGCAAGGGGGUCAUCCCGACUUACCAACCCGAUGCAAACUGCGAAUACCGGAGAAUGUUAUCACGGGAGACACACGGCGGGUGCUAACGUCCGUCGUGAAGAGGGAAACAACCCAGACCGCCAGCUAAGGUCCCAAAGUCAUGGUUAAGUGGGAAACGAUGUGGGAAGGCCCAGACAGCCAGGAUGUUGGCUUAGAAGCAGCCAUCAUUUAAAGAAAGCGUAAUAGCUCACUGGUCGAGUCGGCCUGCGCGGAAGAUGUAACGGGGCUAAACCAUGCACCGAAGCUGCGGCAGCGACGCUGAUGCGUUGUUGGGUAGGGGAGCGUUCUGUAAGCCUGCGAAGGUGUGCUGUGAGG
rnacentral:rRNA from 1 species